CAGUAGGGAAUCUUCCACAAUGGACGCAAGUCUGAUGGAGCAACGCCGCGUGAGUGAAGAAGGGUUUCGGCUCGUAAAGCUCUGUUGUUAAAGAAGAACGUGGGUAAGAGUAACUGUUUACCCAGUGACGGUAUUUAACCAGAAAGCCACGGCUAACUACGCGCCAG
rnacentral:rRNA from 1 species